rnacentral:rRNA from 1 species
GAUGAACGCUGGCGGCGUGCCUAAUACAUGCAAGUCGAGCGAACAGACGAGGAGCUUGCUCCUCUGGCGUUAGCGGCGGACGGGUGAGUAACACGUGGAUAACCUACCUAUAAGACUGGGAUAACUUCGGGAAACCGGAGCUAAUACCGGAUAAUAUAUUGAACCGCAUGGUUCAAUAGUGAAAGACGGUUUUGCUGUCACUUAUAGAUGGAUCCGCGCCGCAUUAGCUAGUUGGUAAGGUAACGGCUUACCAAGGCAACGAUGCGUAGCCGACCUGAGAGGGUGAUCGGCCACACUGGAACUGAGACACGGUCCAGACUCCUACUGGAGGCAGCAGUAGGGAAUCUUCCGCAAUGGGCGAAAGCCUGACGGAGCAACGCCGCGUGAGUGAUGAAGGUCUUCGGAUCGUAAAACUCUGUUAUUAGGGAAGAACAAAUGUGUAAGUAACUAUGCACGUCUUGACGGUACCUAAUCAGAAAGCCACGGCUAACUACGUG